rnacentral:rRNA from 1 species
CGCGUAGGCGGCUCGGCACGUCCGUUGUGAAAUCGCCCGGCUCAACUGGGCGGGGUCAGCGGAUACGGUCGAGCUUGAGCAAGCUAGGGGGCAAUGGAAUUCCCGGUGUAGUGGUGGAAUGCGUAGAUAUCGGGAGGAACACCAGUGGCGAAGGCGGUUGCCUGGGGCUUUGCUGACGCUGAGGCGCGAAAGCGUGGGGAGCGAUCCGGAUUAGAUACCCGGGUAGUCCACGCCGUAAACGAUGUCGACUAGGUGUCGGGGGUAUCGACCCCCUCGGCGCCGCAGCUAACGCAUUAAGUCGACCGCCUGGGGACUACGGCCGCAAGGCUAAA